UUUAAAUAGGAAGCGUGGGAGUCAACAUUGAAACUGGGCACAGGAGUUUCAAGACGACGCCGACAGUCAACACUUUAUAAACACGGAUGACACGGCGUGACGUUUCCGCCCUGACUUGCUGACAGCUUCGCUUGAUGGUCGCCGGCGCGGCUAGCAUGCUAACGUGAACACAGCUAGCAUGCUAACGUGGCUAGCAUGCUAACAUUUACACAGCUAGCAUACUAACGUGAACAUAGCUAGCAUGCUAACGUUAACACAGCUAGCAUACUAACGUGAACACAGCUAGCAUGCUAGCACGCUAACGUGAAAACAGCCGGGAUUCGGACUUAACGACGCGGCCUACGGGACCUAACACGGAGCUAGACGCUGAGCUGCCCGCGGUAGGAACGUCUGACAGCGGCCUUAUUCAGCCAGGAAAGACAUGUAGUCUUCGGGAUCCUCGGCAGCCGGCGGACUGAGCCUGCGUGAUGCUCCCCGCACACCAACACCCCAUGCGCCCCCAAGGUCACCACCAGGCAGUGGAUGUGCUCCAGAAGGGGGCGUGAGAGAGCCACGGCCAGACUCACCAGCUGCUCCAAGGAACUUGGGAGCACUAUCGAGUCCACCAGAAGACAACCUGAGCCCCCGUCCUCACUUUUGUGUUGAUGAUGCAGACCUUACCUUCGGGCGUCUGGAGGCCCAGCGUUUUGUUCAUGGUGCACAGCUCCGCCAAAUUUGGGGAGGUGUAGGCCAACGACUUCCAGGCGUCUGACAGGAAAGGCUUGCUAGCCUUUUCGGAAUCAGUGGGCUCAUACCAAACUGAGUAGAGAUAGAGCGUCCUUAUUUCACAAUAGCUGCGGUGGAAGGUCAACCUUUCGUUCUCGAAGCCGUACCAUUGAUGUUGUGCUCUUUGGCCAGGGAGCAAACGUAUCUGAUGGUGGAAAUGGGUAUGUUUCCAUCAAGGCAAACCAAUGUAGACGAUAAAAGCUGCUCCUUGAACUGGGACACCUACAGGAAGACAGGAGAAGACAUGAGCUUAAAUAACACCACUGCAUAUUUUACACCAGUGAUGUACCAUAUGUCCCGGCAAGAAAUCUGCCUUCAAAAAACUCCGGCUUAUUAGUGAUUCCCAGAGCACAAAAAUAAGUUGGCGGGCUGUAGAGCGUUUUCUAUUCGGGCUCCAGUACUCUCGAAUGUAACAGUUAGAGAUGCUACCUCAGUAGAAGCAUUUAAGUCCCAUCUUAAAACUCAUUUGUAUAUUCUAGCCUUUAAAUAGACCCCCUUUUAGACCAGUUGAUCUCCCCUCUCUUUUCUUCUCUGCUGUCCAAAGUCGAGACCCAGGGUGGACCACUCGUCUGUGCAUCGGUUGGGGCCGUCUCUGCGCUACUGACCUGUCUCUGCUCAGGAUGGUCUCCUGCUGGCCCCAUGAUGGACUGGACUCUCACUAUUAUGUUAGAUCCACUAUGGACUGUACUCUCACACUAUUAUGUUAGAUCCACUAUGGACUGGACUCUCACAGUAUUAUGUUAGAUCCACUAUGGACUGGACUCUCUCACUAUUAUGUUAGAUCUACUAUGAACUGGACUCUCACUAUUAUGUUAGAUCCACUAUGACCUGGACUCUCACACUAUUAACUAGAUCCACUAUGGACUGGACUCUCACACUAUUAUGUUAGAUCCACUAUGGACUGGACUCUCACAGUAUUAUGUUAAAUCAACUAUGGACUGGACUCUCACAGUAUUAUGUUAGAUCCACUAUGGAAUGGACUCUCACAGUAUUAUGUUAGAUCCACUAUGGACUGGACUCUCUCACUAUUAUGUUAGAUCCACUAUGAACUGGACUCUCACUAUUAUGUUAGAUCCACUAUGACCUGGACUCUCACACUAUUAACUAGAUCCACUAUGGACUGGACUCUCACACUAUUAACUAAAUCCACUGUGGACUGGACUCUCACACUAUUAACUAGAUCCACUAUGGACUGGACUCUCACACUAUUAACUAGAUCCACUAUGGACUGGACUCUCACACUAUUAACUAGAUCCACUAUAGACUGGACUCUCACCCUAUUAUGUUAGAUCCACUAUGGACUGGACACACACUAUUAUCUUAGAUCCACUAUGGACUGGACUCUCACUAUUAUGUUAGAUCCACUAUGGACUGUACUCUCACACUAUUAUGUUAGAUCCACUAUGGACUGGACUCUCACAGUAUUAUGUUAGAUCCACUAUGGACUGGACUCUCACUAUUAUGUUAGAUCCACUAUGGACUGUACUCUCACAGUAUUAUGUUAGAUCCACUAUGGACUGGACUCUCACAGUAUUAUGUUAGAUCCACUAUGGACUGGACACACACUAUUAUGUUAGAUCCACUAUGGACUGGACUCUCACUAUUAUGUUAGAUCCACUAUGGACUGUACUCUCACACUAUUAUGUUAGAUCCACUAUGGACUGGACUCUCACAGUAUUAUGUUAGAUCCACUAUGGACUGGACUCUCACAGUAUUAUGUUAGAUGUUACGUUUCAGACCCCUGCCAGCGCCGCUCGUCCAUCUGUGCGCCACUCGGGACACGCCCACGGGCGCACACAUCCAGGAACGAGCCGCGCGCGUCCCCGCCCCGCAGCAGCCGCCAGCUGCAAUCAGUCACCUGCAAACUUCACACCUGAUGGUAAUGACGGAGCUGCCUUUAUAGACCUGGACAACCUGCCAUCACUCGCCGGAUUAUAGCCAUCUGUACCUGACUCUUCCCGUGUUUCUCCUGGAUCCCCUGUUGUUCCCCUUGCCUCCCGGACUGCCUUUUGGAUUCUCGACCUCCCGCUUGGACACGUUUUCUCACGGACUUCCGCGUUACUUCACUCUCGUCAACAUUUUGUUAAGACAUCCUUCAGCUAAUCUACACACAUAGCCUUACACUAUACACACUUGAGUUUUGGUCAGACUUCAUUUCCUUGGUUUAUUCAUUAGCAGUAUUAGUAUUAUUAUUAUUAGUAGUAGUAGUAGUAGUAGUAGUAGUAGUAGUAGUAGUAGUACAGAUUUAUCUAUAUAUUUACUAUAUAUGAUCUUUGGACAGGGCUUCACGGUGGCAGAGGGGUUAGUGCGUCUGCCUCACAAUACGAAGGUCCUGCAGUCCUGGGUUCAAAUCCAGGCUCGGGUUCUUUCUGUGUGGAUUUUGCAUGUUCUCCCCGAGAAUGCGUGGGUUCCCUCCGGGUACUCCGGCUUCCUCCCACUUCCACAGACAUGCACGUGGGGAUAGGUUGAUUGGCAACACUAAAUUGGCCCUAGUGUGUGAAUGUGAGUGUGAAUGUUGUCUGUCUAUCUGUGUUGGCCCUGUGAUGAGCUGGCGAUUUGUCCAGGGUGUACCCCGCCUUCUGCCUGAUUGUAGCUGAGAUAGGCGCCAGCGCCCCCCGCGACCUCGGUAGGGAAUAAGCGGUAGACAAUGGAUGGAUGGAUGGAAUCUUUGGACAUACUGCCACCUGGUGUUCGUUUGCCGUCACCUCCCCUUUAGUCAAACAUAACAUUAGAUCCACUAUGCACUGGACUCUCUCACUAUUAUGUUAGAUCCACUAUGAACUGGACUCUCUCACUAUUAUGUUAGAUCCACUAUGACCUGGACUCUCACACUAUUAACUAGAUCCACUGUGAACUGGACUCUCACACUAUUAACUAGAUCCACUGUGAACUGGACUCUCACACUAUUAACUAGAUCCACUGUGAACUGGACUCUCACACUAUUAACUAGAUCCACUAUGGACUGGACUCACACACUAUUAACUAGAUCCACUAUAGACUGGACUCUCACACUAUUAUGUUAGAUCCACUAUGGACUGGACUCUCACACUAUUAUGUUAGAUCCACUAUGGACUGGACUCUCACACUAUUGUGUUAGAUCCACUAUGGACUGGACUCUCACACUAUUGUGUUAGAUCCACUAUGGACUGGACUCUCACACACACUAUUAUGUUGGAUCAUUACCAUGAAUUGAUUAACGUGGACCCCGACUUAAACAAGUUGAAAAACUUAUUGGGGUGUUACCAUUUAGUGGUCAAUUGUACGGAAUAUGUACUGUACUGUGCAAUCUACUAAUACAAGUCUGACAUCUGCGGUCCCCACCAAGGUUUCUCAUUCUCAUCCCAUUGGUUUGACAUUUUCCUUGCCCUGAUGUAGGAUCUGAGUCCAGGAUGUCAUGGUUUGUGUAGCCCUUUGGGACACUCAUGAUUUAGGGCUAUAUAAGUAAACUUUGAUUGAUUGAUUUAUUUCAAGAAAGUGGAUCAUAGAUCUGUUUCUGUGCUUCACAGGUCAUUGCCAGGUCAAAAAAAUAUGAAAAUAGUCAUGUGCUUUUAUGUUGAAGGGUAAUUUUUUUUUUUUGGUGAAGAAGGAGCUGAGCCGGAAGGCAAAGCUCUCAAUUUCCCGGUGGAUCUACAUUCCCAUCCUCACCUAUGGUCAUGAGCUUUGGGUCAUGACCGAAAGGACAAGAUCACGGGUACAAGCGGCCCGAAUGAGUUUCCUCCCCCGGGUGGCGGGUCUCUCCCUUUAGAGAUAGGGUGAGGAGCUCAAAGUAAAGCCGCUUCUCCUCCACAUGGGAUGGUCAGGAUGCCACCCGCCUCCCUAGGGAGGUGUUUAGGGCACGUCCGACCGGUAGGAGGCCACGGGGAAGACCCAGGACAGGUUGGGAAGACUAUGUCUCCCGGCUGGCCUGGGAACGCCUCGGGAUCCCCCGGGAGGAGCUGGACCAAGUGGCUGGGGAGAGGGAAGUCUGGGCUUCUCUACUUAGGCUGCUGCCCCCGCGACCCCACCUCGGGAGAAGAUGGAUGGACAUAUUUUUUCACAGUCGGGUGUCAUCUCUUUAAGUUUGAUUACAAUGUUCAAUAGUGCUAUUUUGAAUCCAACACAGUUGCUCAAUAGUCUCCUGUUAUUUUAAUGUAAAAUGUGUUAUGUUUCCUAUCAGUACUCAAUGUUUAAGUGGCAUGUACUUCACCAAGCUGGUGCGCUUGUUAAGUGCACUUUGUGUUCAAUUUCACAGAGAAAUAUUAUCACACUUUGUGUUAAGUUUUAAUUGAUAUAUUUUGUUUCUGUGAGUUCGGUGUUUCAAAACAAAGCUUUGACAAGGAACUCAGCGAGAGACUUUAUUAAAAGCAAUAACUCUUGUUGUUUGAGAUAGCAAGUAGUGACCAAAGGUGGUGGUCUUGAAAUAUUCUGUAAACUUGUUUUGCUGCAUUAUUUUCCUCAAAUUCUAGUAUAAGACUUUUGAGAAAUGUGUCUAGAAACAUCUCCGCAAUUUGUGUAGCUGUUUUUUUUUGUUCAGGGGUCCUGCAGCUAAACUAUUUGAUAACCACUGCUUUUGACCACUGACGCUAUUUUGAUGACCACAGAUCUGCUGUGAUGACAAACGUUUCAUUGAUCAACUGUAAACCAUGGCGCUUCUACAGAAACAAUUCAUCCCAGUCCGUGGAUAACAGUAGAGCCCAUAGAUUUCAGAACACGACAGGGCUUCUGAACUGCAUAACAAAGAGGGCCACAGUUUCAAGAGCCCAAGGACUCAGGGGCCAGACAUCAAAAUCUGGAUGUUUUUUUAUAAAGUGAUUCACAGGUUACAUUCCUUUUAGACUGUGUUGACUUACUUACAAAGUAAACACAUGAGCUUUCACACUGCACUGGCAAUAAAUUCAUUAUUCAGCCCUAACUAAUCAUUUCCAGCGUGUACAGCUGGACAGAUAGUUAACAGCAUGAAGAAACAGAAGCUAAGUUUUGUUGAAGAUUGAUGUUUCGUCUUUUGAAUAUUUGUUCUUCCUUAGUUGUAUUUCUCUACUUUAGCUUCCAUUAUUCAGGUUUGUAAGACUGAAUAUAUAAACAUUACAAAAGUAUAAAUUCAA